GAAAUGAGAUGAAUUGAAGUCCAUGCAGACUUAAUGACUAUGAGAUGGGUUUUUCUGAAGCCUCUGCCCCUCCACCCUAACUUGAACCAACUUAUCUAUGGUAGUAAAUUACAGUGCAAGUCUCAUUGACAUUAAGAAGAGAUUGACAUUUUAUGAAUUGAAGUCCAUGCAGACCUAAAUAUGACAUUUUUGUUUUUAUAGC